CAGCAGCCACGGUAAUACGAAGGGGGCUAGCGUUGUUCGGAUUUACUGGGCGUAAAGCGCACGUAGGCGGACUUUUAAGUCAGGGGUGAAAUCCCGGGGCUCAACCCCGGAACUGCCUUUGAUACUGGGAGUCUUGAGUUCGAGAGAGGUGAGUGGAAUUGCGAGUGUAGAGGUGAAAUUCGUAGAUAUUCGCAGGAACACCAGUGGCGAAGGCGGCUCACUGGCUCGAUACUGACGCUGAGGUGCGAAAGCGUGGGGAGCAAACAGGAUUAGAUACCCGUGUAGUCCCUGUUUCUUAUAA
rnacentral:rRNA from 1 species